UCCUAGAGCUAUUGAAGAGCUGGCUACCAGUGGGGAAGGAUCUCUUCUGGAGAUCUGCUCUGCUGGUGUUUUGUGGGUGAGCCCAGGAUAGGGCUGCUGUUCAAAGCCCCUUUCCUGUGCUGGAGCUGUGCAGUCCCCAGGGCUUGAUGGUCUUUGGAGAAAGUGGCCACGUUCAGGAGAACAGCUACCCUGACAACAGCCCAUGCAUGUGGAAUGUAACAGUACUGAAGGAGAAAAUGAUCCUAAUCUACUUCAGCAAAUUAGAUGUAGCAUGUUGGAUGUGACUGUGACUAUGUGUGCCUCUAUUCAAGCAGAAGAGAGCUGAUCAAUAAGGUCUGUGGAGGCAUAUUCCCAGCCCUCUGCUGAUAGUCAGACUGGGACAACAUUACGUUUGUUUCUAAUGGGGAUGAUGCUAGCUGUGUCCAAGCUUGCCAUCGCAGCUGUCCGUAAGGACUCUAAAGCAGGUUUGGGCUGUGGGAGUGUUGCAAUACUGGUGGAAAAGAGAAAGAUUGAUACUGCUAAUUACCCUGGCUUGUAUCCCAGGAACAUGAAGUGCCACUGGCUCAUUGAGGCUCCAGCAGAGUAUGCUGUAAAGGUAAUAAAGGAGAAACUGCACUUAAACCUCUGCACUGAAAGCCAUUCAGGGGAGUGAUUCAAUAAAAUCCUGCCAGAAACAUCUGUGACAAGCAAGAACAUAAAUUGUAAGGUUUCUAGGUCGCUGACUUUUUACAGGGCAUAUUUUGUCAAUUAAACACACUCUGAAUCAGUGUGCGGGGCUGCUGUGACUGUUCUAAGUGCUUUAAGUCUGGUGGCACCAAUCUCAUCACUACAUAGCUUUAUCUUGAAAACCAGAGCGUUUGAAGGGAAAGAAGUACAGACCACGUUGUGAACAGCCAGCUUUUUCCUUGUGGCAGUGUUAAUAACCCCAGGCUGUUCCUUAGCCCCAUACCAAGGUGUUUAUUCUUGUGUGUGAGUAGUGUAGUGAUGGUUCCCACACACAGUACCAGCAUCUCUAGUUUUACUGCACAUCUCUGUUAGAGUGCAGCAAGCAUCCAAAUGGCGUUGUUCUGUGUUGUCAUCUUAUGUUGAUUGGAGCAUCUUUUCUCCCCUGCUGCCUUGGUUAAGCGAUGGAAAAACAGUGUUAAACCUAGGGAUGCCCAAGGGUAUGGAAACCUAUUCUUUUGGUUACCACUGCUCUGUUGGCGUUAGAUGUUUUGGUCUGGAUUAAAACCAAACCACCAAAGGAAAAGCUCUUGAAAGAGCAUUCCAUGGGAGAUAUCCUUCUAAAGUAUAAGGCACAGAGUGUCCCAGUAGAGAUAGCAGGAGAAAUCUCUUCAGGUGAGACUUAAGUCGGAUCCAUCCUCUGCAGCUGUCUGUAGCUCCGCACAGAGGAGCAAUCUGCACUAUUAGGCCAAGACUGCCCACAGACUGCUCUAAUGCAAAAUGUGACUCGCUUGCCAAGGAAAGCAACGCUGGCAAUCCUAAAAGUGACUUUUCUCUAGCCCAUGGUUAAGAAGGGUAAGAGCUUCAAUCACUGCUCUGCUCUUGAUGAUUCCCUCUUGCUUGUUCUCUUCACAGCUGGAGUUUGAGAACUUUGCAGUUGAACUUAGCCCAGGCUGCACUUACAGUUCAGUUGCUGUUUACAGUGAUGAAGAUGAAAAUCAGCUGGCUAAUCUCUGUGGAUUCUCAGCUCCCAAACCAGUGCUGAGUCCAGGAAAUACGAUGCUGGUGCAUUUUGGAAGUGAUGGGGAGAACAGCUUCAGAGGAUUCAGAGCCCAUGUUACUUUUAUUCAUUCAGGUCUGAAAGUCUUUCCCCAAGUGUGUAAGAGGGAUUUUGCAGCAAGGCAGGUUCUUGUUGAUCUCAAAUCCUUUUGUGCCUAUUUCCAUGGACAAAAAGUAAUAAGGAGACAUCUGAGGCCUUCCCACAGUGGUGUUACUAGGGCUGAAUAGGCCUUUGCUCACAGCUGGCCACAGCAUGCUGCUCUGAACCUCCUUUGAGACUACCAGUUGUCAUCAGCCCCAUAUGGAUCCUGACAGCUGCCCACUGUGU